ensembl:snRNA U6 U6 spliceosomal RNA
GUGCCCGCUUUGGCGGCUCAUACACUAAAAUUGGAACAGUACAGAGAUGAGCGUGGCCCCAGCGCAAGGAUGAGAGACAAAUCUGCGAAGCAUUCCAUAUUUAG